ACAUGGCUGCGAUGGAGGCCCAGCCGACGUACACAGUGCCCGCCCUGAGAUACCUCGUGCGGAUCACCGACGGCCCCAACGAGGAGACCUUCAAGAUCUGCGUCGAGUUCUGGCAGACCUUCAGCGCCAGGAUCUUCCUCGAGAUCCAGCAGCGCCGCGCGCAGCCCGUGGAGGCCGCGAGCGGGGGCGGAUCGCCCCUGCUGCU
rnacentral:SRP_RNA from 1 species